GUGGGGAAUUUUGCACAAUGGGGGAAACCCUGAUGCAGCGACGCCGCGUGAUUUAGAAGGCCUUCGGGUUGUAAAAAUCUUUUGUAUGGGAAGAAAAUGACAGUACCAUACGAAUAAGGACCGGCUAAUUACGUGCCAGCAGCCGCGGUAAUACGUAAGGUCCGAGCGUUGUCCGGAAUCAUUGGGCGUAAAGGGUACGUAGGCGGGUAAGCAAGUUAGAAGUGAAAUCCUAUAGCUCAACUAUAGUAAGCUUUUAAAACUGUUCAUCUUGAGGUAUGGAAGGGAAAGUGGAAUUCCUAGUGUAGCGGUGAAAUGCGCAGAUAUUAGGAGGAAUACCGGUGGCGAAGGCGACUUUCUGGCCAUAUCCUGACGCUGAGGUACGAAAGCGUGGGUAGCAAACAGGAUUAGAAACCCUAGUAGUCC
rnacentral:rRNA from 1 species